CCAACAGUAGCACACUUGUUGGGGGACUUGACAACACCGAUAAUAGUCGAGAUGAUGAUGUAGAGAAAGAUGAAGGUGGCCAUGAACUCGGCAAUCCCAGCUCUCCAAAACGACCAUGAAUGAAGCUCACCAGGGUCAAACAGUGGAGCUGGUGGAGGCUCCCUAUAGUCCUUGUCUGUCUGUGCUGAUGUCCCUAUCGGUUGCCUCUCUGCAAACUUGUUGGCCCCCAACCUCACAUCCUCUUCCUUCCCCUCCAUUUUUCUGAGCUCAGUGAUGAAGAUGAUGAACUUCCUGAGCAAAUUGCAGUUGGGUUUGGAGUGAUUUAUAGAGGAAGCAAAGUAAGAGAAAAUAAUAGAAAACAAAUUGUCAAAUGGGGUCCUUCGGAGAAACGUUUGGUUCCGUUCCCAUGUGAAAUGACUAUAUUGCCCUUCUAAUUCACUUUUUAUCUCACUCGUACUAUUAGUAUUAGAUCAUUUUAAUUAAAAGAUAUUUGCUUAAAAGGGGCAGCCUUGCCUUUGCCCUGACUCUAAACAUAAGGAAAUUCCCAGAUUUUCACUCAAGCUCCUAAAUCAUUGAAGCUUUAAGCCGGGAAUUCUUUCAUAGGCUACGGGAAGAACUACAUCUCGUAAGUCAGUGGGGCGGAGGAAAAGAACGUUGGAUUGGGGAAGUAACGAGAAGGAAGAGUCUAUAAAAGAGAGAGUAUGAGUGCACCCAAAGCAAGAGGGGAAAAAGAUAACCUUUGUCUUUUCAAAACAAAAAUGAUUCUUUUUAAGCUAAAUUCCUCACGAUAAAAGAAUUCUCAAACUGUUUGUUUUUCGAAUUUUCAUCAGAAAGUUCAUACAUUUAAUAAAGUAAGUUUUUUUUUUUUAGCUUUUAUGAGAAAAUGCAGAAAAAGAUGAGUGGUUAAUACCUUAACAUUUUAUUAACCAUAAAUUUAAGGGUUGUUGAAUUUUCAUCGGACCUUGUUUGCAUAUAAAAUUUGGGUUGUCUUGUUGAAAUCGAUAAUACUUGUUUUUUGUUUACUUAUUUUUAAAAUAUUGUUUUUAUCAACUCAACCAAAGAGCAUAUAAUUGUCUUGUUGAAAUCGACAUUGCUUAUUUUUUGUUUUAUUUAUUCUAAAAAUAUUGCUUUUAUCUAUUCAACCAAACAUAUCUUUUUUGUUUUUAGGACAAAAAUUGCUAUUUAGAAUUCAAUUCCCAAAUGCAUUUUUUUUCUUCUAAAAACACCAAAAACUGAUUUUAAAAACUUUUUUCAAUUGGGAUUGUUUUCAAAAACAUUUCCCAAACAAGCCAUAAAAUUAGAAUUGUUUUCUUUUGAAAAUCAAGAAAAAUAAAUAAAUAAUAUAAAAGUAGACUUUCUAUAGAAUAAAAAAUAAAUCUAUCUAAAAGGUACGUUCAAAUGCCAAUUUCAAACAACCAAAAAAAAAAGGGUAAAGUUUUCCUUUCUUAUUGUUGGACUAAAACAACUAUACAUGCCUAAUUUUAUAAAAUAUUAAAAUUAUAAACUAUUUAAAAAUUAUAAAUUCAGUAAAAUUCUUAUUUAGGUUAUAAAAAAGUUAUUUAUCAUCUUAAAAAUCAAUUCAAAUAGCAUUUAAAAAAUAACCAAGAAAAAUAAUUGAAUUUUUUUUUUAAAAAAAUUAGGAUUUAUUAGUCAUAGUCUCUUGACACAAGUCUUCCUCUAUACUUUAAUAUUAUGUAUUUAUGUAUAAUAAUGGAGUUUUAUUCUUCAAAUUUUUAAUUAUUUCAAUAUAAUAUUUAAAAAAUAUGUUAAAAUACUUUAAAUUAAAAAAAAAAACCAUUUCAAUUAAUUUUUUUAGACAUGCUUUUAGAAUUAGAAAACCUAUCAUCGUUCCAAAGAACAGCAUCCAAACAUGUCCUAGGCUCCUAGCAUUAGUUUUUUGAAAUUUGGAAAGAAAAAAACAAAAGGAUAUUUAAUGCGCAAUAAAUUAAAGAAUGGUCGUCGAUAAGAAACUAAUGCGAGGGAUGCGUCGCAAAUGGCAGGCCAAUAAAUUCCACACCUAAUAUUGUACAAACAGCGCGUUAUCACCGGGCAUUCCAGUGUGUGGCACCCCCACCAAAGUUGGACGUGAAUGAGAUAAGAAUCAUCAGAUGUCAUGAUCUUCAUCUUGCGAUUAGUCAUCGCAUUUGUAGCUCUGAUUUGGUAGGCCAUGGGUUUGCCAUACACAUUACACACUAUCGUAUUGUACUAUAUUCAUUGAAGAAGACUGAGCUGUAAUGUUUGGUGGGCCCACAGCAUGUUCUGGAUCGCAUUUUCAAUGCUUGUCCCAAAACUCGAAGACUUUAAUAUGAUUUCCAAAUUGGAGUAAAACGACUGUGUUUUGAUUCCUUUGCUCACAACCCAAAAUGAAUUCUUUGGUAGCGAGGUUGGAGCCCAAAGCUCAUUAUUAUUAAAAAGUAUUUUUGAAAAAAAAAAUAUUUGAUAAAAUUUGUGAAAUAUUUUUAAUUUUUUUAAAAUUAAUUAUACUAUUAAAAAAUCAUUUAUAGUGUGUUUUGAAAAACACGAAAAUUUUCCUAAAAAUAUUUUUAGAUAAAAUACUUUUAUUAAAAACAUUUAAAGUCAAACACAAUCUUAAAUGGAGUUAUAAGUUAUUUUUAAAUUUUAAUGGAAUUUUCUAAAAGUAUUUGAGUAAUUUUGUCCAAAUAGCUUCUUAGUUAUAAAAAAAAAAGAAAAAAAAAUCUUUAAAUGAUGUAGGGAAUGUUUGAUAAAAUUUAAUAUUUAUUAUUUAAUGACUUAAAUUGACUUUAAGUUAAAUUAUAUUUAAAUUAUUGAUUUUAAAAUUAUUAAUUAAUUAUUUAAUAAAAUAAAUUUAAAAUUUAUUUUAAAUUAUAAAAUUUUAUAUUUAUCCUCAUAAAUUACACUUAAUUAAAAAAAGUUAAAUAACGAUAAAAGUCAUAAAUAAUAAAAAUGAUCAUGAAUAACAAAUAAGUUAAUUAUUUUACUUAUUAUUUAAAGUUAUUUUUUACUUUAAAUUAUACCAUUAAAUUAUUUUACUAAACAUACUUAAUUUACUUAAUAAUUUAAAUUAAAUUAUUAAAUUGAUUUUUCAAACAAUACCGCCUAAUUUAAUUAAAAAACCAUAUUUUUUAAAUAUUAAUAUAUUAACAUAGUAUAAGCUUUAUUAAAAUAAAAUAACAACUUAUAUAAGUCAAAUUUUAACUUAUACAAAUCAAAGAUUUGUUUGACAAAACUAGUUAGACACGUAUUAAAAAUUCAUACUAAACUUAAAAAAUAAUUUACAAAUUAGUAUGGAAAUUAGAAUAAUAUGAUUUUUAGUACAAAUUAUUUUUUAACUUGUAUGAAGAGCUAUUUUAUAUUUAAAUAAUUGAACAUUCUCUAAUUGAAGCAAUAAAAAUAAAUAAAUAAAUAAUAAUAAAUAAUAAAUCAUUUAUAAAAAAGAAAAAGAAAAAUAUUUUUAUCAAAUAUUGAUUAUUUUUUAAAUUAAAAAUUGUGGUCAAUUAAGGCCCUGCAAAUGAUCCAAAUCACCAUUAAAAUCAAUCUGCGAGAGAAGAAGAAGACAUUAAAGAUGGAAGCUUCCUUUUCAUUCAAAAGCUGCCCAUUGUAAUAGAAGCAGCCCAGAUAACUUACACACAUAAUAACCAGCCCCACCUCUAUUCUGAGCUCAACCCAGAUUCAGGAGGAGGAAGAUGAACAAGAAGAAGAAGAUAGAAGCAGCAAAUAAAAGAAGAAACAGAAAAUGGAGGAAUUUCUCAGGCUCUGGUCUUGAAUGGGAUGGCUCUGAUUACUAUCUGGUGGUACAAGGCAGCAAGAGCAGCUCCAAUGAAGGGUCCAACCCAGAAAAUCCACUGAAGGGAACAACAAAAGAAUGAAAUCAAUACAAGGCAGAUUCACAGAUAAAUGAUGAGAUGAGAAGUGAUUGGGUCUGAUCAUGGAGCUUACCAUGUCAUCCCAGGCAUGCUCUCUGUUGUAGAUGAUGGCGGCCCCCAGACUCCUAGCAGGGUUGAUGCCGGUUCCGGUGAUGGGGAUGGUUGCCAGAUGAACCAAGAACACUGCAAACCCAAUGGGGAGAGGAGCCAAAAUCUGCAGUUCAACGCAGGAAAAAUAAAGGGCGUGUUAUUUUCAGAUCCCAUUUGCAAUAAUAAAUACCAUCAGGAAUGGUUGAAAAAUGAGAGGAAAAUGGGUAUCGAUGUUAAGGAAACAUAUUUUUAGUCAUUGAUCUCAAAAGGCAUUACAUGACUUUCCACCAGCUCCCAGACCCAGAAACCAUAUAGUUUUAUAGAAUUGUUUUUGAAAUAUGAAAAAUAGUUUUCUCCUAUUGCUGUCUGUGAAAGUAGUGUGCCCUACUGAUAUAUGAUGCUUUAGUUUCUAAAAUGUUUUCAGAACAAAUCAUGAAAAAACUGUUUCCUGUCAAAAACAUGUGUAGGAAGUAAAUUAGAAAACUAUUUUCCAUCAAAACCGUUUUGAAGAACAUGUAAACCAAACAAACCCAUGGUUCCCCACCACCAAACUUUUCAUAGAACAACCUCACUGUAGCGCCUCAAGACUGCCAUGUAAAGAUUUUGGGCUCAAAACAACUUAAAACUUCAUAUAAAUUGUUCAUCUUGUCGUGAGCUCACAUUGAAUAAUGCAUAUUGCCCUCACCAUACGAUCGAUCGUCAUGAAAAAACAUUUUAACCAAGCACAUGUUGGUACCAAAAUCAUGUGGCAAGUCCUCACUUUAAAUGUCAGGACUGAAAAGGCAACACACAAGCAUACUCAGAAAAUUUCUCACCUAGAAGUAAAAGUAAACCAAAAAAUGAUUUUAAACUUUCUGAUUUGUUGUAAAGUAUAAAAGAAAUCUUUAUCUAAAAGGUCUCAAGGUUAAUCUAAAUCUAAGAUGUCACCAACUAAUUUAUCAGUAGACAAGGGAAUUUCUCUUAAACAAAUCAGAUAGUCCAAAAUCAUUUUUCUAUAAACUUUUACUCUAAUAAACCCCAAAGAUAAAGUGAUGAAGUUCUCAAUCAAGAUGAUAUCCACACCUAGUCCAUUUUACAAAUUACAACUAGAGACAAGAAAAUAUUUGGCACCAAUUGUACUCAUGAUCCAAUGAUAAUAAAUUUCGAUUGAAUUCUACAUUUUGGUAGUUUCCAAAGAACAUAAAAAUUGGGCAUAAUUGUGCAAAAAAGUAACAAAAAAUCCUUCUGUCCGAGGCUCUUGAAAACAACAAACUUUGAUCUAAGUACAUGAUAGAUUAUGAAUGUUUUGAACCUUCGAACUAUAUUUUGGACAUGGUAUUUGGUGCAUGCACUGAACUAACCAUCAUUUUACGAUACUCAUUUAAAGCAGAACACAUUUCCAACAACACAACUUUUGCAAAUAUGAACAAAAAAGAGAUAAACCCCCACCCAUGCCACCAAGAUAAUUUAUUGUUGGAUCAAAGCAAGUGUUUCAAUAAGUGCACCUUUUACAAACUUUCUUAUUUUCUUAUUGUCGGAUCACUAGUGGAAUUUAAGCAUAUCCAACAAAGUUUGAAAAUGGUGCACUUGUUUAGACACAGAGCUUGAUAGAUAUAACAUUAUACUCAAUAGGGUGCAUUUCCACUUUAUCAGUAAGGUGCCUAACACCCAAAGGGUUAAUGGGGGAUUACUAUAUUUCAAUAAUCCAAACACAACAGUUUAUCAAUAUAAAUCAAGUCACACAAUUUAACAUAUAACAUUAUACUCAAUCCCACAACAUCCAAUCAUUAAAUGAAUGCAUAUGAAUGUGUGACACACAGUCAUAUAAUGUACUAUCGUUCUCAGGCUUUCACUGAAGGAUACGUGUCCGCACCCAAAUAUACUCCCCAUUCGGAGUCUUCUCGAGGUAAACUUUUGGGUCUUUCACCCUAGAGAUCUCUCUCCCUUCUUAAUUCGCCUCACACGGGCUUUCACUUUUCAUCCCUAUUUUAUUUUUUUCCAUUUCAUACACUUUUCACAAUUUUUUUUUUUUUUUCAUGCAACCAUGAUGCAAGUGAAUGCCACAAACUCCAAAAUUCCUCAAUAAUUUCUACAAUUCCAAUAAUUCCAACAUUCUCAAUAACCCAAUAAAAUAAAAUUUUCACAUUAAAAUUCCCGAAAAUACACCAACAAAUUUUCAGAAUUUUUCAAUAAUUUUAAUAAUUCCCAAUAUUUGAAAAUAAAUACCGCAAAUAUUCCAAUCAAUUUUCAAAAAUUUCAAAAAUUCAUAAAUCACUAGGAUUUGAAAUCUUGCCCUAAUUCCGGAAUUUUCCUAUAUUUCUAAUAAUUUUUAACAACCUAAAACGAUUAAUUAUCAAUUACAAAGAAUUCCAGAAAUUACAAAAAAAUCCCAAAUCAUUCCAGAAAAUUCACACAACAUCAAAAUUAUCUACUUAACUCAUAAUUAUCAGAUUUAUAAUUUUUUUCCAAUGAAAAUACAUUAAAUUUGAGUUUUAGGGUUAGUUUUCCCCUACCACAAAUCUGAGAAGUUGACCGUUUCCUCCGAAUUUGGGUUGAAACGGAGAUCGUUUGGCCGUCCAAACGGCCGGUCAAAGAUCCGACGAGUAACCAAAUUUAUGCACAGUGCCUCUCUCUCUCCCCGCGUGUUGCCAGUUUCUAAUUCUCCCCUCUUUCCUUUUUUUUUUUUUUUUACUAACCCUCCAGCCACACAAGCCUGGCCCAAAGUUCAAAAGCCCAACCCAUAUUUUUUUUUAAAAAAAAAAAAUUUCACCAGCCACUUAAGCCCAAAACCAAAAGCCCAAUUCCAUUUCAUUUCUUUUUAAUUGCCAUACUACCUUUACAUGGCCCAAGUUUAAAUAGCCUAUUGAAUAUUUUCAUUUCUUUUCUUUCAUUUUUACUUUUCUUUUGUUUAUUCUAUUUGUUUUAUUUGAUUUCCAAUUCUUUCUUUUUUUUAACACACAAAUUUAUUUAUUAACACCAAUCUAAAACUAUUAAUAAAUAAAUUUGUGUGUUAAAAAAAAAUGAAUUGGAAAUCAAAUAAAACAAAUAGAAUAAAUAAAAGAAACUAUUAAUAAAUAAAUUUGUGUGUUAAAAAAAAAAGAAUUGAAAAUCAAAUAAAACAAAUAGAAUAAACAAAAGAAAAGUAAAAUAAAAGAAAUGAAAUGAAAAUAUUCAAUGGGCUAUUAAACUUGGGCCAUGUAAAGGUAGUAUGGAUUGUUAAAAAGAAAUGAAAUGGAAUUGGGCCUUUGGUUUUGGGCUUAAGUGGCUAGUGAAAAAAAAAAAAAUUGGUUGGCCUUUUGAACUUUGGGCCAGGCUUGUGUGGCUGGAGGGUUAGUAAAAAAAAAAAAAGGAAAAGGAAAAGGGGAGAAUUAGAAACUGGCAGCACGCGAGGAGAGAGCCUUGCACUGUGCAGAAAUUUGGUCACUCGCCGGAUCUUUGACUGACCGUUUGGACGGCCAAACGACAUUCGUUUCGGCCCAAAUUCGGAGGAAGUGCUCUAUUCAACUAGAGAAACAAGUCUACGGUGACUAAUUUCAUUUUUAACGGUCAACUUCUCAUAUUUGUGUAGGGGAAAACUAACCCUAAAAUUCAAAUUUAAUGUAUUUUUUAUUGGAAACAAAAUUAUAAAUCUGAUAAUUAUGAGUUAAGUAUAUAAUUUUGAUGUUAUGUGAAUUUUUUGGAAUGAUUUGGGGUUUUUUUCUGGAUUUUUUUGUAAUUUUCGGAAUUCUUUGUAAUUGAUAAUUAAUCGUUUUAGAUUGUUAAAAAUUAUUAGAAAUUUUAUGAAAUUUUAUUUUGGAAUGCAAUGAUAUUUAUUAAAUCUUGAUGUGUUUGAAUAAGGUUUGAAAUAUUGUUAGUUGGUGAGAACCUAGUGGGACUUAUAUAUGAAAAAAAAAAAAAAAAAUUCAGAGUGUUUUAGUUGACUGCCAACGUGGAAUAGGAGAAACCCUUAGGGUCAAACCUUUGACCUGGGGUCACGGGCCAAAUUUUGAGUUGCCCGGACAUCACAUGACCAUCAAUUUUUCUCUUUCAUUCCAAACACAAAUGAUGUCAUGGUUUCAAUAAUUUCAAAAGAAGGUAUAUGGAUUAAUAUCACCAGCCAAAAGCUUGCUUGUCAUGAAAAGCAAUGAUAUUCUCCAAAAAUAAUUUUUGGAGAAUUUUGAACAAGUUCUUUUUGAACUAAUGUGACAGUGGCAUUUUUGAAGAUAACUAGAAAUGUUUUAACAUUUGGACUUUGCAAUUGAAGCCCAUAUGAUUUCACUUUCUUACUGAAAUAAAAGCCAUAUAUAUAAAACAUUUUCAUAAAAAAAAUGCUACUCAUACCACCUUUUCUAUAACCUUUUUUAUCGCUUGAUGAUGUGACUACAUGGCAAGUAGUCACUUAAUGGUAGAAGUAUAUUUACUUCAUCUUCUACCCACAUCAACAAGCUGGUAAAAGUGGUGGUGGAAAAGGUGAUUUGAAUGCACUUUAGAAUCAAUACAAAUAUGCACAUCCAUGCAAUUAGAGCAAGCAACAAUACUAGGGGUCUCCAAUGGGUGGGCGGGGCCGUAAAUAGGAGGCCUGUUGACUGGUCAACGGGCCGGGCCAUGCUAAAAUGCUAGGCCGGGUCGACGGGCUUUUUGAAUUAAGCCAAAAUGGCUUUCAAAAAAGCCAAGGGAAGGGGAAGGGGAAGGGGAGAUUCCAAUCCCUCUCCUCAUGUUUAAACUUUAAGCUUCUAAUCAGCUAAACUACAUUCUUUUUAUGUUUAUUAAUUGAGUUAAUUAUAUAUAUAUAAAAAUAAAAUAUAUUAUUUUUUUGACCGUUGGAGACUAACUCCAGUCCAUGUGACUGUUAGAGCUAAGCCUUCAACGGUCACAUGGCCAAUUAUUUUGAAUUUUUUUUUUUAACCUUCCUAUAAAAAUACAUAUAGGAAGGUUAAAAAAAAAAAAAUUCAAAAUUCAAAAUAAUUGGUCAUGUGACCGUCGGAGGCUUAGCUCCAACGGUUAGACGGGCUAGAGACCAUUGGAGCCUUUAAUUUUUUUUUUAAAAAUAAUAUACUUUAUUUAUAUAUAUAUAACUCAAUUAAUAAAUACAAAAAGAAUGUAGUUUAGCUGGUUAGAAGCUUAAAGUUUAAACAUGAGGAGAGGGGUUUGAAUCCCCCCCUCUCCCUUCCCUUGGCUUUUUUGAAAGCCAUUUUGGCUUAAUUCAAGAAGCCCACCGGCCCAGCCCGCCUGCCAGUCUGCGGGCUCAUAGGCCGGGCCCGCGGCCUAGCAUUUUAGCAUGGCCCAGCAUGGCCCGGCCCAGCCCGGCGCGCCCGUUGGAGACCCCUAGUCAUUUUCAUGUAAUCAUCUUAGAGCCCAUUUGGAAAAAAGUUAAAAGAGCUUAAUAAUAGUUAGAUGCACUUUUUUACAAAAUUAAGAGUCUGUUUUGGCAGUGCCUUUUACAAGACACUUCUAAUAUACAAAAUUCUCUGAAAAAAAGCCUGUUAUUUGGCAAAACUUAAAAAGUACUUUUAACAAGUUAAAAAAUCAAUUGUAGUGCUUCUAAAGAAGUACUUGAUAGGAGAUUCUCCCACAAACACUUUGGCUAAAGAUAGGGAAAUUUAUGGAAAUCACCUUUAAGAACCCGAGACACUAGCAAGAAAUUCUCCCAAAAACUACAUUCAAUUGUAUGAUACAUGGUAAAAAAACACUAUCAAAUCACUUUUUUUCUUAGUUUUAUAUCCAAACAUUAAUAAAUUACCAUUAAAAGCAUUUGUAAUGGAAGUGCUGUUAUCAGACAGAUUAAAGCGAUUUAAUCAGAAUUACCCCAAACCAGCUCUUAAUCAUCACAAACAAGAACAAUCAGAACUCAAUCGCUUUACCUAUUGACAAAGUUAGAUCUAUAAAACAAACCACACAUAUGCAUACAUACAGAGAGAUGAUACAAUGAGGGAAAAUACUUACAGGGACAUGUGAGUCUCUGGCAUUUCUCUUGGCAUCAGUUGCAGAGAAAACAGUGUAGACAAGAACAAAAGUGCCAACUAUCUCAGCACCAAGCCCAUCGCCUUUGGAAUAGCCAGCAGCCACAACAUUGGCUCCACCACCCAACACCUCAUACUGAUGUCCCUGGAACCCCUUCACCACACCUGCGCCACAGAUGGCGCCCAGGCAUUGCAUGAUCAUGUAGAACACGGCUCGGGUUAGAGACAGCUUUCUGGCCAAGAGCAGGCCAAAUGUCACCGCUGGGUUUAUGUGUCCUCCUGCCCAAACCCAUCAACAAAUUAUUGAUAAUAUCAACACAGAUUCAAAUCAAGAUGUUGCAGAAAACUCUCUCUAGAAAAUUGUGUGGAGGCUUAUGAGGAAAGAGCUGAGAAAGUAGACAGGGAAAAAAUGCGGUGCAGAGAGCCAUAUUAUGAAAACAUAGGGAGGAAUCUCAGUAAGUUUGUUUGGUUGCUAAGAAAUGUAGGGAAAGAAUGGGAGUAAGAAUUUAACAAAAUUGAACGUUAAUUAGGCCACGAAAAUACUCAAAUAUUCUCAUUCUUUUAUUUUCCUCCUCUUUUUCAUCAACCAAACAAGGACUUUCAAAAUUUCAGAAAACCCCGUCAAAAUCUUCCAUAAUAUCAUGGAAAAAAAAAAGAAGGAAUGCCAGAUACCCAUUUUCAAUCUGAACAUAUCUACCCACAAGAGCUGAUGAAAACGACAAAAGAAAUCACGGAUCAAAGCUUCUGAGCAUAUCAAACCACCAUGGAAAAAACAAGAACAAAACAAAGGAAAAGCACGACUCAACAGAUCAAACAAAAGAACAUAUAUAGAGAGACAGAGAACAGACCUGAGAUACCAGCAGUGCAGUAGACAAGGGCAAAGAUCAUACCCCCAAAAGCCCAAGCAAUACCCUGAAUACCAACAGUGGCACACUUGCUGGGGGACCUGACAACACCCAUAACAGUCAAGACAGUGAUGUAGAGGAAGAGGAAGGUGGCCAUGAACUCGGCAAUCCCAGCUCUCCAAAACGACCAUGAAUGAAGCUCACCAGGCUCAAACAGUGGAGCUGGUGGAGGCUCCCUAUAGUCCUUGUCUGUCUGUGCUGAUGUCCCUAUCGGUUGCCUCUCUGUAAACUUGUUGGCCCCCAACCUCACAUCCUCUUCCUUCCCCUCCAUUUUUCUCCCUCAAAUUCUCCCUCUACAGAUCUGAAAACACUGAGAGUUCAGAGCUUA
rnacentral:lncRNA from 1 species